rnacentral:rRNA from 1 species
UACGGGGGGGGCAAGCGUUGUUCGGAAUUACUGGGCGUAAAGGGCUCGUAGGCGGCCAACUAAGUCGGACGUGAAAUCCCUCGGCUUAACCGGGGAACUGCGUCCGAUACUGGAUGGCUUGAGGUUGGGAGAGGGAUGCGGAAUUCCAGGUGUAGCGGUGAAAUGCGUAGAUAUCUGGAGGAACACCGGUGGCGAAGGCGGUUCUCUGGGCCUUACCUGACGCUGAGGAGCGAAAGCGUGGGGAGCGAACAGG